AUUGAACGCUGGCGGCAUGCCCUACACAUGCAAGUCGAACGGUAACAGGUCUUCGGAUGCUGACGAGUGGCGAACGGGUGAGUAAUACAUCGGAACGUGCCUAGUAGUGGGGGAUAACUACUCGAAAGAGUGGCUAAUACCGCAUGAGAUCUACGGAUGAAAGCAGGGGAUCGCAAGACCUUGUGCUACUAGAGCGGCCGAUGGCAGGAUAGGUAGUUGGUGGGAUAAAAGCUUACCAAGCCGACGAUCUGUAGCUGGUCUGGGAGGACGAUCAGCCACACUGGGACUGAGACACGGCCCAGCCUCCUACGGGAGGCAGCAGUGGGGAAUUUUGGACAAUGGGCGCAAGCCUGAUCCAGCAAUGCCGCGUGCAGGAUGAAGGCCUUCGGGUUGUAAACUGCUUUUGUACGGAAUGAAAAGCCCUGGGUUAAUACCCUGGGGUCAUGACGGUACCGUAAGAAUAAGCACCGGCUAACUACGUGCCAGCCGCCGCCGUAAUAC
rnacentral:rRNA from 1 species